rnacentral:lncRNA from 1 species
AUUAGUAGUCAGGGAGAUGCCUUAGUGCAUCCAGCACUGCAAGUCAGGGAUGAGACACACUACAACAGGAGAGGGAGCAAGCGCGAGAGGAUAUUAGAAGAGAGGCUUGUCUCCAAGAUAUGGAAGGAAGUGAGAAAUGACAGGGCUGCAAGCUUUGUAUGUAGGAGCCCGGCAGGGCGGGGGAGCGGCGAGGAGAGCCAAGUGGAUUCUCAGAAAAGGGGGGAAGCCAUCGAAGAGCUAAAGGUGAUUAGAGGGGGAUAUUGAUUUCUUAUUCUGCCAGAGAUUUAAGCAGGCAUGCGAGGAAUCUGCACCAUGGUUGGCAAAAAGAGACCCGUUGCCUCCUGUAACCAGACACUCAGGCUUUCCAGGAGCCCAGGGAGCAAGCCGAGAAGAAAGGGGGCAGUGUGGUCUAGGAAAAUUCAACUUGUCGCUGAUUUGUGCCUGAUGCCUGCUGUCCGUCAGCAGCCUCCCUUACAAUCUUUUUUUCUCUCUCUCCUUUUUUUUUCCUUGCCUUCUCCUUCUUCACUGAAGCCUAGGGGAGCCAGUAAAGAUUAAAUGUGCUUCUCAAAGGCAGCCACUUCAUGCUGCUAUGUCGAAAGGGCCAUUAUUAUUAUUAUAUUUUAAUGGUAAAAGAGAAAAGGAGAGAGGUUGAGCGAGCGAGAGAGAAGCUAGGUGUGAUGAUGACAGACUAGCUUUUCUGAGAGGAAAAGGAAAAGGGAAGGGAGAGAAAAAGGAGAGCCUCUGAGCUCAACGGAGGAUUGUGCCUGAGAAGAACCCACAGAGGAGGCUGUGCGGGCCCCGCUCCGCUUCGAAUGGCUGGUCCUAUAGUACCCCUCCUCAGGAAUGUCUCCCCAGUGCAAGGACAAAGACUGAAGAGACUGCUAUAUUGAUGGACUCUCAAGCCAACUAUGAAGUUGAAACAAAGAAAGUGAUCACCUGAAGACACCUCCUCUGCUAAGAAACACCCCCAAAUUGUGCAGCUUCUGCCACUAGAACUCUCAGAACAAGAGACAAUCUUUUCAAGAAACAGAAAAACUCAAUAAUGACAUCUAGAUUUUCAUGAGCCAAGAACUUUCCCUUCCUCAUGUGUAUUCCUCUGUUUGUACUUAAAUUCAUGUGACAUUCAUUUUUUUCCUAGUAUGGAUAUGCUUAUUAAUGCACUUGUUUCAAAAUCCCAAAUUGCACAAAUGUGUUAAUAUUUUAAGAAACAAAAUGAAUCCUACAAGGAGAAUGAUUUUUAGCCACACAUAGGGUUGGAUCUUGAGAGUGACCUACAGAAUAAAAGUACUUUUAAAAUAAAGUAGUCAGAGGCUAUUCAAAGGGUAAAAUAAUCAUAGUACCACAUUGGUCCACUUGACACUAACCAAUCGAUCAUUUUUUUUUAAUCAAGAAAGCUAGAUUCUAUCAGAUAAAAUCACUGCUUCUAAAGAGUUUAAAUCUAGUUAGAAAAAGUUAUAGAAAUGUUUGCAAAGAUAAGUAACAGAUAGAGUCAGUAGAGGAUAAGAUCAAAAACAAAACCAAGCAAAAGAUGAGUUCAGGGGAGUUUGCCAUCAAGUUGGCAAAACUGACUUACUUAGGGAAGAAAGUUAUAAAACAGGAAAAUAUGAGAUGAACCUUGAGUGAUGUGGAAGAUUUAGAUAAAUGGAAAGGAAGGAGAAAAUGGAGUUCUUUAGGUGGUUGUAAUUGGAGGAGGAAAUGAAUACACACAUCUUGUUGACUUAAACCCAGACAUUCAGCAGCUCUCUAUACAUAUCUGGAAAAGACUGCACAGUCACCUCCUGUCUCUCACCCCAGGUAUUACUUAGAAUUAUUAUCAUAUUUCCCUUCCUUUAAAGUAAGUAAGGGUGAUUGGUGACAAUAUGGAGAACUAUGAUUUUUCCAUUAACCUAAUAAUAAUUGGUAUUUAUUGAGUUCUGUUAAGCAUUUUACAUAUUAACUCACUUAAGCCUUUCAACAGCCUUGCAAAAUAGGUAUUAUUAUCCCCAUUUUACAGGCAAGAAAACUGAGGUUUAAGUAACUUGCCGAAGUGCCAUAUACAGGGCUCACAUUCAGUAUUGCAGUUGCAAAGCUCAUGAUCUAUAGUGCCAAGUUGCAAUAUUGUAGUCAAUGUCACAAUUAUUACCCCUUUUUAUAUUCCUUGAUAUUUUUCCAUGGCAAACAAUUAGCUAUUUCAUUUAAUAAUCACCUAAAACUUUUCAGUCUUCUGAUUAAAAUUACGCUGGAGUGAUAGAAUGUAUUUUCAUGAUAGAAAUUGGGAAAAAAAAUGGGGAAUGAAGUUUAUCAGCAUUUCAGACUUGUUUUUUUUUUUUUUUUUUGCAAGACUUUGAUGAGAUUGUUCACUUUUGUCUAUGUAAAAUCCCAAAUCCUUGAGAAUAAAAAAGGGGGAGGUUUAAGUCACUUGUUGCAAUGCCCUUUUUAAUAGAGGCAAUAAAUCUAAAGGCCAUAAAUUUAGAGUGACUUACAGAAGAUCGAACUUUGGAGUGUGGCAGAGUAAGGGAUGGAAACCGGGCCCUCCAGUUCACUAUCAGUAGCUUUUGCACUGGUCUGCCCUUCCUAAAUUAAGUAUGCACUUCAAUUUGAUGAGUGGAAACAGUCUAUCUGGGCAGUAACCAGGGAGCUUUGUGCCUAGUAGAUUGCUUCUGUUCUGCACUUCUUUGGUUUCCCACCUCAAUGUAAAAAAUAGCUAGCAAUGAAGUCCAGAAGUUGUCAAUGGUUCAUCCCCAGAAGAAUGCAUAAUGUCCAAAGUUGUAUGUGUAUGAUGUCUUCAAUGGUAUUAAGUUAUUUCAAAUUCUUAGUUCACCUACAUAAAUCAUUUCUAACAAGCAUCUUCUUAACCAACUUUAUGCACAGUGUAUGUUUGUAAGUGCUUCUGCACGAAUGUUUAUACAUGACUGUUUCCAUAGUACUUAUGUUUUUAAAAAUAUUCAGUCAUUUCCUACUAUAAUCCUCAUGUAUCCAUGUAACUGACUCAAAAAUACUUCAGCCACAGAAAGCUAAAACUGAGCAAAUCUCAUUCUUCUUUUCCAUCCCCUUUGCAUGUGGCUGGCAUUUAGUAAUGAUUAAUAAUAUGGCCAGCUGAAUAACAGAGGUUUGAGACACAAUUCUUUCUCAAAGGAGUCAGCUAAGCUGGGUCUACUUAUGGACAAACAUCUAAAUGUGUGGAAGUAUCUGAUAUUUGACAAUGGUAAAUUUCCACUUAGCUAGCUAGCAUUGUCAGACUUCAAUCUCCUCAUGGCUCUGGCCGUCCUGUUUUAAGCAUGAUAAUUGUUGGCCACAUCUCACAUAGUUCUCAUUGAGUGAGUUCAUAAAUAAACAGGGUUUUUUUUUUUUUUUAAAGAGCAGCCAAGCACAAAGUGUGACUUUGUUGACAUUUUAUGUGACUUUGUCAUAUGUUCCUAACCCCCAAUAAAAGCAAUGUUGCAUCAACUGUGAA